UCUAAAAAACGCUGGGUUGUUUUUUCAACCCAACUGCUGAGUUGAGGCCGUUGGAUAGGACUUUGGGAUGUUUUAACCCAAGUUUGGGUUGAAAAUAAGGUUUUAAAAAAAAAAAAUGUAACCCAGCGGGUCUGGGUUGAGGACGCGGACGUGAAGGAGAGCACGCACGUCACGUCAAGAUCGUACGUCUCCAGUGCGAGCAGCCGCCAUUUUCUCAGCGUGAUAGAAGCGAGAAGCGAGUGAAAGACUAUGACUUGUCAAGCUUGUGUCUUCAUUGUCCUCGCGCUGAGAGUUAAAGACACAGAAGCUGUUUGUGUGAGGAGUCACAGACCUGUGUGAGGAUGAGGAGGAGGUGUUCUUCUGAAGAGCGGGACAGACGGUUUAAGGAGAGUAAACUUCAGAAUAACAUCAAGUUAUCUUUAUUUUUACUAAGACUAAAAUAAUGUUGUUGUUUUUUUAGAUGUUGCAAUCCAGAGACAAGAUAACUUCAUUCUUUUGAGACUGAUAACUCAAACUAACUGGAGUUAAGGACACAAAAGUCUGCUUGUGUGAGGAGGUGGUUUUCUCAGCUUCUUCUGAAGAGAGGGAAAGAUCGUUUAAGGCAAGUAAACUUCAUAAUUUCAUGUUAUCAGUUGUUGUUGUGUUUUACUAAGAGU